rnacentral:rRNA from 1 species
UACAGAGGGUGCGAGCGUUAAUCGGAAUUAUUGGGCGUAAAGGGCAUGUAGGCGGAUGAACAAGUGAUAUGUGAAAUACCUGGGCUUAACCUGGGGAGGUCAUGUCAGACUGUUCGUCUAGAGUGUGGUAGAGGAAGGUGGAAUUUCUGGUGUAGCGGUGAAAUGCGUAGAUAUCAGAAAGAACAUCGAUGGCGAAGGCAACCUUCUGGGCCAUUACUGACGCUGAGGUGCGAAAGCGUGGGGAGCGAACAGG